rnacentral:rRNA from 1 species
CUGGUUGAUCCUGCCAGAGGUUACUGCUAUCGAGGUCCGACUAAGCCAUGCGAGUCGAAUGUAGCAAUACAUGGCGUACUGCUCAGUAACACGUGGACAACCUGCCCUUAGGUCGGGUAUAAACCCGGGAAACUGGGUAUAAUCCCCGAUAGGUCUCGGCUGCUGGAAUGCAUCGAGAUUUAAAGCUCCGGCGCCUAAGGAUGGGUCUGCGGCCUAUCAGGUAGUAGUGGGUGUAGCGUACCUACUAGCCUACGACGGGUACGGGUUGUGAGAGCAAGAGCCCGGAGAUGGAUUCUGAGACACGAAUCCAGGCCCUACGGGGUGCAGCAGGCGCGAAAACUUUACAAUGCUGGCAACAGCGAUAAGGGAACCUCGAGUGCCAGGUUACAAAUCUGGCUGUCGAGAUGCCUAAAAAGCAUUUCAUAGCAAGGGCCGGGCAAGACCGGUGCCAGCCGCCGCGGUAACACCGGCGGCUCGAGUGGUAACCGUUAUUAUUGGGUCUAAAGGGUCUGUAGCCGGCCGGAUAAGUCUCUUGAGAAAUCUGGCAGCUUAACUGUCAGGCUUUCAGGAGAUACUGUCUGGCUCGAGGCCGGGAGAGGUGAGAGGUACUUCAGGGGUAGGGGUGAAAUCUUGUAAUCCUUGAAGGACCACCAGUGGCGAAGGCGUCUCACCAGAACGGACCUGACGGCAAGGGACGAAAGCUAGGGGCACGAACCGGAUUAGAUACCCGGGUAGUCCUAGCCGUAAACGAUACUCGCUAGGUGUCGGCCACGGUGCGACCGUUGUCGGUGCCGUAGGGAAGCCGUGAAGCGAGCCACCUGGGAAGUACGGCCGCAAGGCUGAAACUUAAAGGAAUUGGCGGGGGAGCACCAC